GCAAACUUGGUCAUUUAGAGGAAGUAAAAGUCGUAACAAGGUUUCCGUAGGUGAACCUGCGGAAGGAUCAUUACAAAUCCACCUUAUCAAACCACGUUGAACUGUUCCGCCGCUGCCGCUGCCGCCGCCGUGACCUCUAUCGUCUCUAUAUGGGAUGGUGGGGGGUAAGGUGGGGGCGCGACGCGCGCGUUCAUGUCACUUGUUGUUCUUCUGUUGCUCGAUUGUACCUCUAUGAGGAUGAUGAUACAAAUCAUCUAAAAACAACGACAACUUAUAACAAUGGAUCUCUAGGCUCUUGCAUCGAUGAAGAACGCAGC
rnacentral:misc_RNA from 1 species